AGAGCGAACGCUGGCGGCAGGCCUAAUACAUGCAAGUCGAGCGGCCCUUCGGGGCAGCGGCGGACGGGUGAGUAACGCGUGGGAAUGUGCCCUUUGGUACGGAACAACUGAGGGAAACUUCAGCUAAUACCGUAUGUGCCCUUCGGGGGAAAGAUUUAUUGCCAUUGGAGCAGCCCGCGUUGGAUUAGCUAGUUGGUGGGGUAAAGGCCCACCAAGGCGACGAUCCAUAGCUGGUCUGAGAGGAUGAUCAGCCACACUGGGACUGAGACACGGCCCAGACUCCUACGGGAGGCAGCAGUAGGGAAUCUUGCGCAAUGGGCGAAAGCCUGACGCAGCCAUGCCGCGUGAAUGAUGAAGGUCUUAGGAUUGUAAAAUUCUUUCACCGGGAAGAUAAUGACGGUACCCGGAGAAGAAGCCCGGCUAACUUCGUGCCAGCCAGCCGC
rnacentral:rRNA from 1 species